AUGUCUCAGCUGCUCUACAAGGGAGUCCCAUUUCAGGUAUGGGGCUGGGCAUGGUCACUCCUGCUGGAUGUCUAGAAGAUGGAAACUAAAGACCAAGGAAAAUGCCAGAUACAGCCUUUCCACCCUCAUCCAGAGCAGGACAAACAGGCCAGGUGGUGUCAGGAGCCCAGGUCUCCAGCUGGAGGGAACGUCAACCCUGCAGUGGGAGCAGGGGCCCAUCGCACAUCCUAGGCACAGAUGCUAAUGUAGGCACUGCAGACCAUAAAGGAGAACAGCAAGAGGCCCCCAGCAAACAUCCACAGAUGGCCCUGGACAUCAGCCACAUUCUGAGGAACAUGUCAUGUUCUGGGAGGGCUAAGGCAUCAACCUUACCCUGUAGGAAUCCUAGUGACUAUGUUGCCACCAUCUUGGAGCUCCAUGCCCUCAUAGUGUAAUGGCAUCAGCAGAUCUGCCUGUGCACAGACUUCCUGUACUACCUCACUCCUGAGGGGAGAUGCUUCUGCAGGGCCUGCGACCUGGUGCUCAACUUUAGACACCAUCAUCCUGGAGCGGCACUGCACCCUCACUAGCCAGGGUGUUGACGUCCUCAAGGCCAAGGCCACAUUCAAGACUUUGGACUUCAUUGAUGCACUUGUGCCGAGCAAGCUUAUCUGAUCUUCCGGGAUCUCUACUAGGAUGCUGGCAGCCCAGCCGGCUGGUCUGGCCCUGGACGUGCUUUCAGGGGCUGAUUAUGCUUCAUGACCUGUGUUGUGAUCCUGGUUGGAGUAAAACAUUCCAUGGGAACUCGGGCUGUGAGAAACGUCCUAACCACCUGACUGCAGAAACAUCCUUAUCACAUCCUGCUGGGCAAAGGCCCAACAGCCUGACUUCAGGAACAUCCUUAUCAUCAUCUACUGAGCAGCAAGCUAUACUGUCCAGAGCCCUCCCUCCCAGCCCCAUGAUUACCCCAGCCUGUAAGUGGCAGUGGGCGCUGACACUAAGCUGGUUUCCCCCUCCGCAGGGUUUUGCCAGUAAUAAACCUGUGUUGCUGUUGAAGCGGCCAAUCUGUGUGUGUGUGUGUGUGUGUGUGUGUGUGUGUGUGUCUGUAUGUGUGUGUGUGUGUCUUUCCUUUAACUCUUGCCUUGCCUUCAAAUCCUUACAAUAA
rnacentral:lncRNA from 1 species